GCGUCCGGGCCGAGGAUGCCGGCCGCGGUGCGCUUCGUGCGUCCCAUCAUGGGUCCGUGCAGGCCGACGCCGAACUCGCCGUGGACCGCCGAAAGCCGCGCGCUGUGGGCGUCUGUCGGCGGCGGCACGACGUCCGGUGGCAGCGCAAGGGGCCGUCCCGCUGGUGAGCCAGAUGAAGCCUACAUCACAGAGGACAUGCGCGACAAGGCGUACAACAUCUGCCGCGAGUUCCUGAGCGGCACGUGGAAAAGCAUCUCGAGCCGGGACAUGGUGUUCAAGUCCGUGAGUGGUGGCCUGAGCAACCUCCUGUACUACUGCUCUCUGCCCGAGACGCACACGCCCCUGUACGGCGAGCCCAGCCAGGUGCUGAUGCGCAUGUACGGCCAGAUCCCCAGCGAGGGCAGUGACACCACCGUCACCGAGAGUGUCAUCUGUACUCUGCUGUCAGAGCGAAACCUGGGGCCCAAGCUCUACGGGGUCUUCCCAGGAGGGCGCCUUGAGGAGUACAUUCCUGCGCGGGCAUUGACGCUCCAGCAGUUGAAGGACCCGGAAAUAUCACUGCUUAUUGCAAAAAAGUUGGCAAGGGUCCAUGUAUUGCAAGCCCCCUUGGUCAAGGAGCCCACCUGGCUUUUCAACAACAUGAACAGGUGGCUCAAGUAUGCACACUCCAUCAAGGUGGACACUGUGCCCAUUAAGCAGCACACUAUGGCUGUCAAGCUGCUCACAACUGACCUUGCAGCUGAAGUCAACUGGCUGAAGGAGUUCUUGGGAAAGAUCGAGUCUCCGAUUAUGUUUUGCCACAAUGACCUUCAGGAAGGAAACAUUCUUUUCAUGGAUGCUCCGGGACCUAAGGAAGAGAACAUGGUGUUCAUUGAUUACGAGUACUGUGCCUACAACUAUAGGGGCUUUGACAUAGCAAACCACUUUUGCGAAUGGAUGUACGACUACUCUUACCCUGAGCAUCCUUACUUCAAGGCCCAGCCUGGAGACUAUCCAUCUGUAGUGCAUCAGCGGCUGUUCAUUGAGCGAUACCUGACCACAUACAUGAAGUGCCAGGAGAUGACGACUGAGCCUAAGCAGCCACCAAACCUUUGCACCGUAGAUUAUGUGCUCCAUGAGGCACGAGUCUUUGCGCUGGCCUCUCACCUCUUCUGGACUCUCUGGAGCAUUUUCAACGCUCACACGUCAAAGAUCAAGUUCGGCUAUUGGGAGUAUGGCCAGGCACGACUUGAUGCAUUCUUGGCACUGAAGUGCGAACUGCUCCAUGGAAACGAUACGCCAGAAGUGGCACUUUCCCCCAACCAUACAUCACAGAGGGUUGUCAAGAUGUAGGGCAACAAUGAGCAGCUGUCUCCUGGAUGCCUGCUUUAAAUCCUCUCCUCAUUGGUGCAUUCAAGGUGUGCGCAAUGACUGAGCAACGCCGAAGACUUCCAUUGCAUCCACCACCUUCGAAGUGCAAAUCCCAAACCAAGUCUCUUAAGCUUCCUGAACAAGAGAAUGGCUGAUGUUUCAUGUCGUGGCGAGGCAUGUUCGACGAGUCUGAACUGCUCUAUCAUGUGCUGUGUGCGCUUUGCUGGCAAGGCUUUCACCAGGCUAACAUGAAAGAGACUUGUCUCGAGUGUCUGGCCAUUUCACAUCUGUCCUUUCAUAUUUGGUAUGGGUUUGUGUGCUUGUAUGAAUAGACCAAAGGGACCCGGUACCUUUCUUCCUUUUCUGUUGCGUUUGAAAUUUGUGAGAAAAGAGCUUCACUACGGGCACUUUGCUCAUGUCCAUGUGCCACUGUGGAAACGAUGUGUGGUGACAAACAUUUCGCCAGUGUCAUCCUAUUUUUGUGGAAGUGAACUGAACAUGUUCCUUCCACAGACAGUGCUGCCAUCCUGCAGGGGGAGUGUGACUUCAGCACCAAUUUGGGUGAACUGUGCUGUUCGAACACACUCACUCCUGGCUGCAAACCAUUUGUACUCGGGAGGCAAGUGUCUUGCUGCCCCUUCUUGUGUCUUAGCUGGGCUCUCCCAGAGCCAUCGUUGCAUUUCACCGUCGUUCCUCAAGUGUGCUUGGAAGUGGCCUCAGAGAGGUGUUUGUGCGUGGAAAAGCACUGGGUGUGCCUUACUAAAAGUGCUGAGUAAAGUUCCCAUGAUUGGAGUGUGAAGGAGUCUGUAGGAAAGCUACAAAGGUGACAGGUGCCACACUUCAACACAUUUGUUUCUUUUUUUGCCUCUAAAGGAGCUUAAAAAGGUGCCACUACACGCACUGUACGUUGCAGUGCUAGUGGAAGCAUAAUGGGUCCGCACUCAAGAAUGCCUUUAGCGUGCAUUAUGUGCUGCCUUUAUCUGACAAUACCUUGCACGGUGCUCUCUGAUGAAAGUGAUGCACCUUUUGAGGUGUGCGGGUGCGAAAAGCGAAAAGGUCAUUGCGCUAAGCUCUUGCCACAUAUGCUAUGUACUACAUGGUUUAAAUUGUGAGGUGCAGUUUGUCUGCUUGUGACGGGACACCUUGUCACAAAUGACUUGUAUUGUGGUUCUCAAAAGCCUUAGGUCAUCGAAUAAAAUGGGCUUUUAUAAAUGCUGGACCCAAAACUAGCAGGGGUCAUCUGCCCUGCAAACAAGAAAAGCCCAGGGUGCAAGCCAUUUGUUUCCUCUAUUUAUGAAGCUCUAUGUGGCUGGAGCACAGUACUAUGCUCCAUUGACUCUUUGUGCUGCUUGUAGUAUUUUGGUGCCUCAACAGUGGCUAUCAUGCUAGAGUAUGCGUUCCUUUUAACAUGCAGUGUGGGUUAGUUUUCUGUCUCUAAGUGUAUGUGCAUGCAAGUGUUGCUGACAGGACUGGAACAAACGGCACUUGUAGGCGACAAAAGCGCAUUUGUGAGCGUGUACAUUAUUGUGUCUUGUUUUUGCGAGUCAGCUGUACGAGAUUGCCGUGCAAGCUUCUUCUACAUUGCGCAGGGCUGCUGACUCAACAGAAUUGAGCAUAAUGCUUUAAGCAAAAAAGAGAGUGAAUGUGAGAAGCACCGGAUCACUAAAAGAAACAAGAAUGGUGCUCUAGUCAUUGCAUUUUUCUUUUUAUGACAGUUUGUUUUUCCCUCCCACCAAAGUUAAUGAGCGAAAAAGCUGAUUGGGCUUUCCUGUUCCCAAUUGGAGGGAUGGUUUUGUCCCAGCUGUUUUGACCACUGCCCACAUUCCACCGAUUGUCAACACUGAAGCCUGAGUUUUAUAUACGGGGUGCAAGGAGCAUGCUCCCAAAACCCCAUCAGAUCCACUUGAUGCAAACUGCCACCUUAUCAUUUGCACAACAGAAGUUGUGUUUGGGCGACCAACAGGAAAAAGAACAUCUGGCAUGCUUUUGAGGAGUACAGUUAAUGUUUUUGCUGCAGAAUGGUGAGGGGUGGCAUGAGAUGUAUUAUUAAAUGCUGAAGUUGCUCGCCAUGUGUGAGCAAGGGAGAUUCGAACUAUUACAUCUGCUGCAUUUGUUGUUAGAGUACUGAUUAGGUGUUCCUUUUCAUAUUGGACAACCCCAUAUUGUAUAAAAUUACAUCUGACAGUUUACAAGACAAAAAUGAGAACAGUAUUUAGGUGGUUUGCAUUAGCAUCAAAUUGCUUGUUUAAUGCACGAUAUUUGAUAGAUGUGCUAUGCAUAGCUUGCUUCUAGUUGAACUGAUUGAUGCCACGUGCCCUUGCCGUAUUUUUUUUCUUCUUUUUCACAUUUAGACACAUCUUCACACUUGAAGGAAACCUACUGCCACUUUCAGUGUUAUUUUUCAGGUGCAGUGCUUUGGUCUAGCACGUUGUGCUGCUCUUUCUGAGUUGAAUGUUCCUGCGUGUUCUCAAUGUUUUGGCAGCAUUUAAUUAGCGGGAGACUUGAGGUUGCAAAUAGCUUCAAAGAGUAGCAUCCUUUAAGAUCCGUGUGUUGCAUGUUUUUAAGCAUUGCUGUGCAAUUUUGUUUCUCCCUUUCCUGCUUACUCAAGUGCAAUGUUUUUGUGAUUCGUUUAUGUACUGCAGCGGAUGUGUCACUUCAACUAAGAAUCCUGUUCACCUGACAGGUGUGGAGUUGUUCAUUUAAGACAAAGCCCAUAAUAGUGCUGGGAAGGACCACUUGCAGAUGGAUUUUUUUCCCCCUUCCCGCCUGGAAACCAGUUUCUAUCUGUGUCACACAUUUCUGAGUUUGGUACUACUCAUGACCUAGUCUCCCAGACUGAACUAUUUUUUAGCUUUUCACACGAGCUCUCUCGAUGUACACUGUGAUGUGUCUGUAAAUAAAGGUGAUACUGUGAUUUACA
rnacentral:misc_RNA from 1 species